rfam:Otolemur garnettii contig016776, whole genome shotgun sequence.
GAAAUGGAAUAGCAUUUUAUAUACUAAAACUGGAAUGAUACAGACAAGAUUAUUAGCAUGGCUCUUGCACAAGGAUGGCAGACAACUUUGUGAAAUCUUCCAUUUUUAA